ACUAACCCUACCCAAUGCCCUAAAAUCCUACCCUACUGCUUCUUCAAAAACUCUAGAGAGUCCACAGCAGCAGCUGGAACAAGACCCCACCCCCUGACCUUCUUCUUCUUACCUAAGACAUCAAAUCCAAGAGGAGACCGAACCCUAGAGAAAAACACUCCAGCAGCCGCACCCUCCAAGCAACGAAGCCAACGACCAACCCUCUAUCAACUGCCAAUCAGCCAGUCAUCGCUGCUGAACCAAACCAUCUGAAAACUGCCUUGUUCUUCAACAUACAACCAUGUCGGUCACCACCCCAAUCUCUCACGCUCGUUCCCUUAUCUCUCCCUCCUCAUUCCUCUCAUUCCCUUUCUUUGUUACUGCCACCGCCAGAGAAACCAUCCGAGCUCGCCGAAAACCAACAGCAACCUAAGAGAGUGGAGACAGGCGUCGACGAGGAAUUUCGAUCAAGCUCUGGUCUCGAUUCAUGUUCAGGCACUGUUACUGUAUUCGAAAAGGCAAUCACUGUGAGGUUCAUCCCUUACUUUGACUUAAAAACAAUUCCAUCUGUUUUCUUAUCAAUGUUUGGUAAUCAUGAUUGUCGUAUGACUAUUCUGCUAGUUUUGUGGUUUGCUUGAAACUAUUUCUUAAUUUGAUUUGUUUUGUUUAAUUUGAAUUUGAUGCAUUAUCAAGAAAAAAAUUAGCUAGUUAACUUGUUAGAUCUGUUUGGUUAAUAAUUUUGGGUUAAAGUUGAGCCACAACAGUGAUUGACAUUAAUGGUAGUUGGGCUUGAAUUGAUUUAAGUAAUUAAUAGGUUGAAUGAAAAUCAAUUAAAGUUUAGAUUCUCUCGUUGUAGUGUUGGUUCAUGAACCAUGAUUUGGGUGUGGCUUCAAUUUUACUCUAUUAGGCUUAGAAAACUUCUUACCUUCAUUUUAAUUUUAUAAAUAUUAACGCUAGUAGUAUGCUUGGCCGUCAUUACAUGGGUACGCAAGCCAUAGAUUGGAUGACGAGAAAAAGCGUAGAAUAGAACUUUAAUAUUUUCUUUUAUUUAUUUUAUUUUUGUAGAUGGGGACGACCUCUGACCUCUUAUGUAUUUAUGUUGUUUUUAUGUUUUUACCGCAAUUGAAUAUUUUAAAAGAUGACCAGUUAAGGGACUUGGGGAGUGCCUAAUACCUUCUUCCCGAGUCAAAUGAACCCCUUACCCGAAUCUCUGGUGCAAACUUAGUUUUGGAGUCUCAAGUAUUUUUAAAGAAAAAACUUAGUUUUUAGAAAAACGGUGACCUGACACAGCAAAACCCAUGUCACGUGGCGACUCUGAGUUAUUUCCUUUAAACACUAUCUCUUGUCACUUUCAAAAAUAAAAACCCCUUUCGAGCUUUACAAAUUUCUUUUUAUUAAUUUAAGAGGGUUAAGUGAGUUCUUUUUUAAAAAGGGGUGUGACAUCUCUGACGACUCUGCUGAAAAUUUGUAGGUUCGAGCUAUUACUUGAUCUUGUUGGAUUUUAGGAUAUUAGGUUGAGGUUUUUAUGUGUUUUUUUUGCUUUACUUGGUUUUUAUUUUUGUUUAUAUCUUUUUAUUAUUUCCUAUACGCUUAUUUGUUUACAGUUUUUCUUUAUGUGUUACUGCUUCAUAAAUUGUCAUCAUUUGCAUAACCACGGGUCUUUUUUUUGUAACAAGUCUUUUGGAGUAAAUUUGAGCGUACACAGCCUUUUUGUGAGUCACCCAUGUCUUUAAGGGGGUAGCGUGAGAGCGUGGAGUGGGAGGACAGCUAGAGCAGCUGCCAUCGACCACGUGUCGCCCCCAAUUCCCUUGUUAGUACACCCAAACUUAGGUCAGCCUUUAGGUCAUUUUUAUUUGUAUCAUGUCAUUUACACCUUGUAGGGUUCGGUCCCAGGCAGUGUGUCCCUUUGUAGGAAGUCUAUACAAGUUUUGUCAAAAAUGGGCUCGUUGCCCAAAAGACAUUCAAUCAUCCCUAUACGAUACAUAUUGCAUCUUUGAGGGUAAAAGGGUCGCUUGACGGACUGAUGCUUGGGAAAGUGGUGAAAAUGAAGCAAGUAGGGUCCAAUUAUAUUUUUCUUUACAACUUUUUAAAGAAAAGUCAAAAAAUUGAAAAUGAAAAAAUCCAAAAAGAUUUUAUACUUUUCCAUUAUUUUUCAAAACUUCAAAAAAAGGAGAAAAAGAAAAUCUAAAAAGAUUUUACAUUUUCAAUAAGGAGAAAAAGAAAAUCCAAAAGAUUUUUCAUUUUCUAUCAUUUCUCAAAAAGACAAAAAAAAUAUGAUUUUCCAAAUUAGUUGCUUUUUUAAAAGGCUUUCUCCCAUAUCCAAUCUUUUCGAAUUACACGAAUCUGAUUCUCGUCUUUCGAGACGUGACACGGAGGAAACCCACAUAGGGUCCGAUUUUCCAAGUGAGCUUUAGGUCCUUGGAUCUGCGGGGUCUUAGCCAAAUCUUGCAUGUCUAGCCGCUUUUGGGCAUAUCGGCCAUUGUUGCAAAAUGGGGCCUUUUUGCAAAAAUGGUUCAAUUACCCAUAUUUUAGGAUUUUGUGUCUACAACUAUGUGUCAUAUUACUUUAGGGUUCUUCCUUUUGAGUUUGCAUCUUUAGCCACUUUCAGCCACCUAUGCUAUUUUUUCAAAAUGGGUUAUUUUCGCAAAUUAAUUUAGGGCCAUGAUUAUUGUGUAUUUAAAUCCAUAUAAGCCUUAGUAAGGUCAUAUCUUUGAGUUCACCUUUGUUGAGUUUUCACUUCUAGCCACUCUUGGCUACGUAGGUUAAUUUUUAAUAAAUAACUUAAUCGUGUCUUGCAUGUGUCCAACAAGAGGUGUUGUGGUGUCGCAUAGUGUCUCGGGUCAUUUAUCUAUUUGGUAUUAUUUUUCUCAUUCAGGUAUGAAUUUAUUUACUGGAGCUCGAGCGUAACAGGUACCCUGGGACCAUCACAUUUGGGAGCUGUUUCAAGAGACUUUUUAUUUUUGAGUCUUUUUUUUUUUAAUUUUUUGCUAUCUAUUGUUGGAUGGUAGUUUCAGUCUUUUAGUUGGUGUAACCGUUUGUCGUAGUAUGGUUGAGUUUGUCAAGUCUUGCGCCAUCAUACUUCUUGUUUUGUAUUUGAAAAACCAAAAAAAGUUAUAAAUGAAAAAUUCAAAAAGAUUUUUGUUUUAUUUGUCCACUACCUUUUCCAGAACUAUGCGUGAUCUGAUUCAAGAAUUCUUGAAUCAUUUUUUCUAUCUCCCAUUUCAAAGCGCGACAAUCUUCAAUGUUAUGCCCUUGGACAUUAGAGUGGUACAUGUACCGUACAGUAAGAUCAAACCCUUUUGCAUAUGGGUUCGGAGUAUCGAUGAGCAGCUCAAUCAGACCAGACUGUAUUAACUUUUCAAACAAGCUUGUGUAGGAUUCUCCAAUUUGAGUGAAAGACUUUUCUCUUUGUUGCUGCCUUCUCAUUUUGUACUCCGGCCUUAGUUGGAACCUUUUUCGGGUAGGGGGUUGAUAUGCUUGUAGAGGUGGGUAACACAUUUGUGGAGGCGGUGGAAGACGUUGCCGGUUUUCUGUGUGUGUAGCAUAUGGCAGUGCAUUGUGGAUAGAGUACUGGGGAGGUGAGGUAUGACUUCAGGGAAUCUGUGGAGGAAAGUUGUAACGACCCGACCAGUCGUGUUGAGAAAUUAAGCUCCGUUCAGCAGCAUAAGGUUUGUAAUAGCUUAUUAAAAUGAGUAUCGAUUUGCGUGCAUGGUGAAAUUUGGCUUUCGGAUGGUUUAGAGUCAAAUUGGAAGAAGCAACCUUGUUUUGGAAGUCUGAACAGUGACAAGUUGACCGAAAUUGGACAUUUGAGCAAAAGAUCCCAAAAUGAGUUGUGGACGACCCCAAGAACUUCAUAUGGUAAUUUUGGACUUAGGCGCACGUCCGGAUUUAGAUUUGGAUGAUCGUAGAGUGAAUUGAGGCAUCUCGACGAAAGUUGAAGUUGGAAAAUGAAGAAGUUUGACGCACAGUUGAUUUUUGUGAUAUCGGGGUCGGAAUGCAUUUUCGAGAGUUGGAGAAGCUCCGUUAUAUUAUUUUGGACUUCUUCACAAAAUUUGGCGUCAUUCCAGACUGAGUUGAUAGGUUUCGGCAUGAUAUUUGAUAUUUGAAGAUUGAGAAGUGCAUAAGCUUGAUUUUGUGUUUGAUUCGUCGUUUUGAUGUUGUGUUAUGUGUUUUGAAACUUUGAGCGAGUCCGUGUUAGGUUAUAUGACUUGUGUGUGUGAUUAGACGGGGUCAUGAGAGCCUCGGGUGUGUUUCAGAUGGGCUACGGAUCAUUUUUCCUCCAUUUUGGACUGCUGUAACUGCUGCUUCUGAUAUCCUUCUAUGUGAUCACGAUGAUUCUCCCGUGGUUGCGAUGCCUUGCAGAAGACCACCUCAAAAUCAUCACGUUCGCAUCUGUCUACUCGCAUUCGUGAAGCUCUGUUUAGUUCUUCAUCGCGUUCGCAUUAAGCCUUCCUCGAUCGCGAAGGUCUAUUCUUCUUUACUUGUUCUGACCAUCUAUCAGAGAAAAAAGAACCUAUUGGCCUGUGCAACACCAUCUAUAAAUCAAUCAUGAAAAUUAUUGUAAACAGGAUAAAACCUAUCCUACCCCACAUCAUUGGGCCAAGCCAAGAAAGUUUUCUCACUAACAAAAGGGUCAAUGACAAUGCAAUCAUUGUCCAAGAAUAUGUCAAUCACUUCAGGAAAAUGAAGGGUAAGAGUGGUAACAUGAUCCUAAAAUUAAACCUUGGCCUGUGCAACACCAUCUAUAAAUCAAUCAUGAAAAUUAUUGUGAACAGGAUAAAACCUAUCCUACCCCACAUCAUUGGGCCAAGCCAAGAAAGUUUUCUCACUAACAAAAGGGUCAAUGACAAUGCAAUCAUUGUCCAAGAAUAUGUCAAUCACUUCAGGAAAAUGAAGGGUUUCACGAUUGAAUCUAUUUUCCCGCGUUCGCAUAGUGGAAUUUAGGACUUGGGGGCCCUCUUCGCGUUCGCUUAAGCUCCUACGUGAUUGCAUAAGCCACCAUCUCAUUACCCUUCACGUUCUCAUCCCUCUUCACGCGAACACGAUGUACAUUUCUAGGCUUUCUCGAAUUUCCUCUACGCGAUCGCGACCAUUGUUCCGUCGCGAUGAACAAAUCACUGGGCAGAUAGAUUAAAUCCCAAGUCUGAGGGUUCCACCAUUUUUAUCAUAUUUUGACUUCUAAAGCUCGGUUCUUGGAAAUUUUUGAAGGGAUUUUCACCUGGGCGUCUUGGGUAAGUUCUUCUCACUCGACUUAGACCAAUUUCCAUGAAUCUCCUCUUAGUUUCAUCCUUUAAUUUCAUAUUUUGAAUGGAAAAUGGGUAAAACUUUAUAUACCAAAUUAUUGACUUUUGAGGGGGUAUUUGACCUUUGAUUUGAGAGAUUUUUAUAUGGUUAGAAUUGUGAGAGUACGAGGGUUUUGAAAAUGUUAUAUCCAUCCGAUUCCGAGAUGUUGGACCGAGGGGCAUUUUGGUCAUUUUAUCUAAUUUCAUGCUUUAGUUUUGAAUUAAAUAGUAGAAUUAGUUGCUUGAGAUGUUAUUUACAAGGUGUGAUUGAAUUGAAUAGAUUUGAGCCAUUUGGAGUCGAGUACUCAUGGCAAGAACGUGGUUGCUAGUUGAUUUUAGCCGGCUCGAGGUAAGUAUCUUGCCUAACCUUGUGUGGGGGACUUCCCCUUAGGAUUUGAAUCUUCUCUAUUGAUUGUAUUCCUUGUAAGCGAGGUGACAAAUGAGUGCUCGGAUUUAUUUGUGGUCAUUGCCCUUUUUAGGCUCUUAGAUCCUUGUAAUCACCGAGUAUAAAGUUGUCCUUGAUACGAUUGAGUUCCCUGUUAUUAGUUUCACCUCUAUAUGUCUUAUUUGGAAUUUAUUUGCCCUUCUUGUUUUAUUCUUGUUGCCUAAUUGAAUUUUACUUGUUUAACUGAAGAUAUUUACCCUUCCAUAGUCACAUUAUCUUUCAUAAUUGCUUGCCUUUAUUUGAAAAUUGUUAUUAUUAUCUCUCGUGUAAUUAAUUGGUCUUAAUUGAGGCUACGAUUAUCUUCCCUAUGCUCAUUCCUUCAUUGAACUUGUUGUGUACUCUUCGUAAUUUUCUCGACUUUAAAAGAAGUUAGAUAUCUUAUGUUUAGUUGAUAUUUCAUUAUUUGAAAUUAUUUGACUCAUGUUGACUUCCUUGUUGUUGAACUAUGUAUUAUGGAGUCGUUGUUGCAUAUUACUUUCUCCCUUAUUGAUUUGUUCUUAUUGUCUUAGUAUUUCUCUGCUAUGAUUAUUCCUUGUGAGUUAGUUGUACCGUCUUUUGGUGAACGGAAGUACCUGAUUCUGUUGCCUUGUUCCUGUAAAUAAUAUCGAUUGCUGUGCUGUACUUGAGAUGGUGGUGCACGAGGUUUCUGCCGUGCGGUUGUUGAUAUUGUGAUGCACGAGGUAUCUAUCGUGCGGUUGUCGAUAUUGUGAUGCACGCGGUCUCUUCCGUGCGGAUGUUGUCGAGGGGUUGCAAAAAGUCUUUGUCGUGCUAUUGUUGCUAUUGAUAUUUUGCAUAUGCGGCGUAAUAAGGCAGGAGAUGUUUUUAUGCUUAUAUGUGGGUUGCGUAUGUUGCAGAAUAAGGUGGAAACAUUAUGAUGCACGUGUAGCGAAAUAAGGCGGUGCUUAUUAUAUUAUUAUUUGCACACGUGGCGAAAUAAGAUGGCUAUGUCAGGGGUUGAUUGUAAAGAGUUGUGACGGCAUGUGGAUGCAUUCAUAUUUUGUUUGAUAUUGUGAUUUUGGGUUGCUCACCUGUAUGAGCGUUAUCGCUCGAAAAUUGUGAGGAAGCAUCGUAAAACACUUGUAAAAGCAUACACGUAAUAGAACACUCCUAUCAGAGGUGAAUUCCUCUUGAUUUUGCUAAGGGUGGAGAUACGCCCUCAUUUAUCCAUUAUAUCUGUGAGAGUGGCCCUAGUUAGCCAGUUAGUUGUCAACAUGACUGUGAGACUUUUGGGGUACAGGAUGUCAAGUGUUAGAUUUAAGAUGUUGAGAUUUCGUGAGUUGUGAUUCAUCCGAGAUUUUUGGUAAAAUUGUCGAAGGAGUUGAAUAGGACCUUAUGUGAACAUCAUUGUAAGGUAUGAGUUAUUGACUUGUUUUUCCCUUGCUGUGUUAUGACCUUAGAAUUUGAAUUGUGAUUUUUCCGUCUUUACGUAUCAUCAUUUAUUAUAUUCUCGUUGUUACUUGUUGUUCUUUUCCUUUAUUCUGAAUUGUAGCAUUAUUAGUCAUUUCGUGCCGUCUUUACAUAUUUAUAUAUCAUUUUCGUUAUUCCUAUGAUUAUACUGUUUAUUUGACCGGUAGGUGUCUUGACUGUUCCUCGUCACUACUCCACCGAGGUUAGUUUUGAUAUUUACUGGGCACCGCCGUAGUGUGCUCAUGCUACUCUUCUGCACAUUUUUGUUGUGCAGAUACAAGUACUACGACUCAGUUCUAUCAGCCUUGGAAGAAGGCGUAUCGGUAGAGACUUCGAUGUCUAUCUGCUACAUCCGCAGACCGAGGAGUCCCUUUCCAGCUUUUUGUAAUAAGUAUAGCUCCUUCAGUAUUUCUCCUUUGUAUAGACAUUCUUGAUUUAGUCUUGAUACUUACUAGGCACCGCCGUGGUAUGUUUAUGCUACUCUUCUGUACAUUUUUGUUGUACAGAUACACGUACUCCCACUCAGUUCUGUCAGCCUUGGAAGGAGGCGUAUCGGUAUAGAUUUCGAGGUAUAUCUGCUACGUCCGUAGACCGAUGAGUCCCUUUCUAGUUUUCUGUAAUAAGUAUAGCUCUUUCAAUACUUUUUCUUUGCGUAGAUAUUCUUGAGUCAGAGCCUCUUGUGUAUCCCUAAGCUUGUGAUUUGUGAGAUUCUGAAUUUUGAAAUUUUUUGUUAGCUUCGAGAGUUAUUAUUGUAUGUGCCUAACGGCACCUUAAAGGACGUCUAUCUAACAAAUAGAGCUAUCAUAUUGCAUAUAAAGGAAAGUGUAUUACCA
rnacentral:lncRNA from 1 species